ACGUAAAAUAUUCUUUUCAAAAAAGUUUUGUCGCGUUUACGUUACGGCAAACGCAAAGCAUCGUGGUCCACUAGAGAGAGAGAGGGAGGGAGAAGGGAGAGGGGGGGAAUAAGAAAAGAGAGUUGGAAUGGAUCUUGGUUUGCGGAGGGAGGAAAAAGAACGGGCGGUUCUUGUCGCGCAGCGCCCUCGUCUGGUCAAAAGUGGUAGUGCAGCUUGUAUCUGGGAACAUGUUUGCAACUUUGCAGCGUCGCCACAGGGAGUCGCUAGAUAGGAAAUGGCUCAAUAGUUGGAGCUUUGGAAGGGGUUAUACGCAAUUGCAGUGGUUCUCAAACUGCUGCUUCCGGGAGUGAUUCGGGGGAGUUCAUUUACUUCAGAGCUAUUCAAUUACAUAUUUUACUGGGACAGAUUUUUCGGAGGUCAUUGCCGCUGAGCCAGUCAUUUGGCGAGCCACCAUCAAACGUAGUCAUAUUUUUGGGAUAGAAAGUAAAUAAGAAAUUCAUUUUAAUUAUAUUCCUUCAUUUUAUGCUUCUUUAAGUAUUACAGGACAGUGUUAUUUCAGCCUUUCCUUCCAGCUGAAGGCUAAGCACACACCAGAAGCACAUGGCUACGCAAUGUGUAAACCUAAAGACUUAUUUUAUCUCCCAUGGCAGCUGUUGGACUUGAUUCUAUCAGAGUUCUGACUCUGAACAGAAGCACUGCAAAGGUUUCCACAAGGUGUACAACUCCACGAGCCCAAAACCAAGCUGUGGGUGCAACUGAAGAUUCAAGCUUCAUGUUUUGUACAAGAGCAGGAGUGGGACAGAGGAGGAAAUGCUGCAGUCACCGGUGCUUUCUGAGGAUUGUCCUUGUCCUCCACAUUCACAACUCUGUGCAGCCAACGCUCCCAUCCACGUCGCCCCUUCAGUGGGCGGCUCAGAGGCGCUGUCACUGGGCCAGUUAGACUGAUGAUAAAACUCAUCCAUAUGCACCAAGUGGCUGGGAGGGUUGGACCUGUUUUCAUCUGCUUUUGCAGCGUACCAAAGAGUGACAAACAAAAAGUGAUGUGUCUUUAGUCGAGUGGGAACUCUUGACAUCUUGUUAGUGGCUGUAGCCUGCUGCCAGAGGCGUCGCGCAGCACACACAGUGCUCUGUCUCUGCGCUCUGGGCAGCUGCUCAGUUUGGUGUCAUUUGGCAUCAAAGAUGAAUGCAACUACAAUGCACACACAACGUGAACACAUGGACAUCCUGCCUCUGUGUUUCCACACACCCAUGGGCACCCAAGAGCACCCAUGGGCACCCACGGGACCUGCGACUGGUGAAGAGAAAAACUCAAUGCAGAAGAAAGAAUCAUUGUGGUUUCCCUUGGCAGUCAGUGCUCUGUCUUAGAGCCAAGUUCUCCGUCACUCCUUCCCCCCAGAGGCUAGCACCAGUCAUCGUCCUCCACUUCAUUGUAGG
rnacentral:lncRNA from 1 species